rnacentral:rRNA from 1 species
UGUGUCCUACGGGGCGCAGCAGUGAGGAAUAUUGGUCAAUGGUCGGGAAACUGAACCAGCCAAGCCGCGUGAGGGAUGAAGGUACAGAGUAUCGUAAACCUCUUUUGUCAGGGAACAAAGGCGGGGACGUGUCCCCGGAUGAGUGUACCUGAAGAAAAAGCAUCGGCUCACUCCGUGCCAGCAGCCGCGGUAAUACGGAGGAUGCGAGCGUUAUCCGGAUUUAUUGGGUUUAAAGGGUGCGCCGGCGGUCUGUUAAGUCAGCGGUCAAAGCCC